rnacentral:tRNA from 1 species
CCUGGUGGCUCAGCUGGUAAAGAAUCUGCCUGCAAUGCAGAAGACCUGGGUUCAACUCCUAGGUCAGGA